AUGUUUUUCUGUCCCCUGUUGGUUGCUAUCAUGGAAUCAUUUGCAGAUUUGACAUUACUGACAGCAAGGAGCAGUCCUCCAGGCAAGCUAGACCCAAGACAGCAGUAUCAGGAAGCAUGUGGAUCAGGAUCCACGUGGAUUGCCAUCUGUGUGGGAAGGUAUUUCAUGAGCCUGUCUGCACCAAAAAGUUAUCUAGAAGAGCAGAGGUAUGGAAGAAAUGCAGAAAGAAAACACAACAGCCUGAAUUUUGGAAGAGCUACCAUUUGCUCACAACUCAAGAUGCUAUUCAUCAUUCCACUGCUUGGUCUUAGAAAAAUGAACAAACAAAAAAACCCGCAUAUGAAAAGAAGGUGCAGCUGCAAGGAUGUUUCAUGCCAGCACCACAUGUACCCAAAUAAUUGGAAGCGUAGGAAUCCAAGAAGAAGGAUGUGCAAUUAAAGACUUUCAUCCAUGCAACAUGUUGAACAGGCCAGCAUAAUAUCUAGCUCUCUGAGCACCACCAGUUGCUGCAGCUGUAAUUGUGUUUCUAAUGGUAUUUGAAAUUGGAAGGGAGUUUGUUUUUGCCAUGUUUCUUACCUACAUUUCAG
rnacentral:lncRNA from 1 species